GGGUUGUGAGGUUAAGCGACUAAGCGUACACGGUGGAUGCCCUGGCAGUCAGAGGCGAUGAAGGACGUGCUAAUCUGCGAAAAGCGCCGGCGAGGUGAUAUGAACCUUUGACCCGGCGAUGUCCGAAUGGGGAAACCCAGUGCAAUUCGUUGCACUAUCGUUAACUGAAUACAUAGGUUAACGAGGCGAACCGGGGGAACUGAAACAUCUAAGUACCCCGAGGAAAAGAAAUCAACCGAGAUUCCCCCAGUAGCGGCGAGCGAACGGGGAGCAGCCCAGAGUCUGAAUCAGCGUGUGUGUUAGUGGAAGCGUCUGGAAAGUCGCACGAUACAGGGUGAAAGUCCCGUACACGAAAAUGCACAUGCUGUGAACUCGAAGAGUAGGGCGGGACACGUGGUAUCCUGUCUGAAUAUGGGGGGACCAUCCUCCAAGGCUAAAUACUCCUGACUGACCGAUAGUGAACCAGUACCGUGAGGGAAAGGCGAAAAGAACCCCGGCGAGGGGAGUGAAAAAGAACCUGAAACCGUGUACGUACAAGCAGUGGGAGCACCCUUCGGGGUGUGACUGCGUACCUUUUGUAUAAUGGGUCAGCGACUUAUAUUCUGUAGCAAGGUUAACCGCAUAGGGGAGCCGAAGGGAAACCGAGUCUUAACUGGGCGUUAAGUUGCAGGGUAUAGACCCGAAACCCGGUGAUCUAGCCAUGGGCAGGUUGAAGGUUGGGUAACACUAACUGGAGGACCGAACCGACUAAUGUUGAAAAAUUAGCGGAUGACCUGUGGCUGGGGGUGAAAGGCCAAUCAAACCGGGAGAUAGCUGGUUCUCCCCGAAAGCUAUUUAGGUAGCGCCUCGUGAACUCAUCUUCGGGGGUAGAGCACUGUUUCGGCUAGGGGGUCAUCCCGACUUACCAACCCGAUGCAAACUGCGAAUACCGAAGAAUGUUAUCACGGGAGACACACGGCGGGUGCUAACGUCCGUCGUGAAGAGGGAAACAACCCAGACCGCCAGCUAAGGUCCCAAAGUCAUGGUUAAGUGGGAAACGAUGUGGGAAGGCCCAGACAGCCAGGAUGUUGGCUUAGAAGCAGCCAUCAUUUAAAGAAAGCGUAAUAGCUCACUGGUCGAGUCGGCCUGCGCGGAAGAUGUAACGGGGCUAAACCAUGCACCGAAGCUGCGGCAGCGA
rnacentral:rRNA from 1 species